CCAGAACACGUGGGACCCAUUACUUGUUAAAAAUAAUACUGUGUAGGAUGCCAAAUAGCUUGACACGUCAGAUCUGACCUGUCAAGCAGUGUAUCAAAGGAGUACUGCUUAAUUAAUACGAACUGAACUAAACAUCAUCUACAAUCCUCUUCAUUCUUCUUCCGUCAAGCGAUCUUUGAUCGCUCUUCAUUCGCCAUGAACCCCAGCCUGCUCCAGGUUACUAGCGCCACCAUCACCAGCCAAGCAAUAGGCUACCACCACCUCCAGUCACUUUUCGUGACCCAAAAGUGAAAAUGAAGUACAUCAUAAGGAUUCUCCUCAAAUAGUUCUCUUUAAUGAUACAAAAGACUGCAGUGAUAUUACUGGUCUGAAGAUAUUAUAAAUUGAAAGAAGAAGAGAUUACCAAGAGAGAAAAGAGUGAGGGGAUCUAAGAAAUGAGUGAUUUUAUUUUUGACGUUUAGCCCUCUUUCGGCAUCGAAGGGGAGCGAAAUGGCGUGGGACAUUCCACCGGAGUUUAUGAAAUCUCUCCGGUCAUUAUCAUUGUUGCCAGAAGCCAAAUCUUGGCCAUUGAGAAAAGUGAUAUUGGAAUGGAUGGUUGGAUUCGAUGGCGCGAUCCAAAACUGAUUGCAAAGAUUGGUAUAAGAGGAAGGGUAAGGCCGUCCUUGACUCACCUAGUGCACUAAAACUCCCCGGAAGGGGCGUUGGUGGCUGGAGUCGCGAAUUGCCCUCCUCUUGCUUGUCCUUUCGUGCAAUAGAGGUUCAAAGGAAGAAUCACUUUUGGGUCACGAAAAGUGACCGAAGGUGGUAGUCCCUUAUUGCUUGGCCGGUGAUGGUGGCUCUAGUAAUCGGGAGUGGGCUGGUGUUCAUGGAGAAUGAAGAGUGAUCAGAGAUCGCUUGAAGGAAGAAGAACGAAGAAGAUUGUAGAUGAUUUUUGGUUCGGUUCGUAUUAAUUAAGCAAUAUCGGUUUGAUACACAGCUUGACA
rnacentral:lncRNA from 1 species